rnacentral:rRNA from 1 species
UACGUAGGCAGCAAGCGUUGUUCGGAAUUACUGGGCGUAAAGAGUGUGUAGGUGGUGUCGUAAGUUUGGUGUGAAAUCUCCCGGCUUAACUGGGAGGGUGCGCCGAAGACUGCGAUGCUGGAGUAUGGGAGAGGAAAGCGGAAUUCCUGGUGUAGCGGUGAAAUGCGUAGAUAUCAGGAGGAACACCUGCGGUGUAGACGGCUUUCUGGACCAUUACUGACACUAAGACACGAAAGCGUGGGUAGCAAACAGG